GGUAGAUAGACCACUUUCAGGAUCGCGAACUUAUGACGUUUCACCGUCUCCUGUUAAUGACGUCGAUGUUUCAGUCGGAAGUGGUUGUGAGUAGGUAGCAAUGGCAGAGCUGGAUAUUGGACAGCAUUGUGGGGUUGAACACUGUGGCCAGCUAGGUAAUGUGUACAUUUUAGUGUUAGUUUGUUUUCUCGCAUUAUUAAUUUUAUUAUUGGUGUGUAAAGACCAAGUGAUAUCCCUGUGCUUGUUAUUGGUUUAUAAUUCUUAUUUUAUAGCUUUGUGAGAAGAACAUCAAUGUCAGUAUUAUUUUUUUGUUGCUAUUAUUAAUAUGUUGGUAACUGUUUAACUCAUCUCAAUAAAGAAAUAUAGCAAGAUUUAAAAUAGAUAUACUGCAUUUGGUUAUUACACAGUAAUUUUGUUUAUUUUUUUUCAGACUUUCUCCCAUUUGUUUGUGAUUCCUGUUCCAAAGUGUUUUGGUAAGAUAAUAAGCUGGUUUAAAUCUCAAACAACUUUUGAGCAUUUGAUGUAUACUUAACACCUUGGUUAUGUUAGGACGUACAAUAAGUAGAGCUG